GACGAACGCUGGCGGCGUGCUUAACACAUGCAAGUCGAACGGAAAGGCCCUGCUUUUGUGGGGUGCUCGAGUGGCGAACGGGUGAGUAACACGUGAGUAACCUGCCCUUGACUUUGGGAUAACUUCAGGAAACUGGGGCUAAUACCGGAUAGGAGCUCCUGCUGCAUGGUGGGGGUUGGAAAGUUUCGGCGGUUGGGGAUGGACUCGCGGCUUAUAAGCUUGUUGGUGGGGUAGUGGCUUACCAAGGCUUUGACGGGUAGCCGGCCUGAGAGGGUGACCGGCCACAUUGGGACUGAGAUACGGCCCAGACUCCUACGGGAGGCAGCAGUGGGGAAUAUUGCACAAUGGGCGGAAGCCUGAUGCAGCAACGCCGCGUGCGGGAUGACGGCCUUCGGGUUGUAAACCGCUUUCGCCUGUGACGAAGCGUGAGUGACGGUAAUGGGUAAAGAAGCACCGGCUAACUACGU
rnacentral:rRNA from 1 species